UACAGAGGUCCCAAGCGUUGUUCGGAUUUACUGGGCGUAAAGGGUGCGUAGGUGGCGAGGUAAGUUUGAUGUGAAAUCUCCGAGCUCAACUCGGAAACGGCAUUGAAUACUAUCCCGCUUGAGGGUCGGAGGGGAGACUGGAAUUCUCGGUGUAGCAGUGAAAUGCGUAGAUAUCGAGAGGAACACCAGUGGCGAAGGCGAGUCUCUGGACGACUCCUGACACUGAGGCACGAAAGCUGGGGGAGCA
rnacentral:rRNA from 1 species